rnacentral:lncRNA from 1 species
AGACAUAUUCAUGAAAUGAAUGCACAUAGUAAAACAUGCUUUUUCAUAUCACAUAUGCCGAUCCUUGUUUUAUGAAAAAUUAUGAUUUUAUCAAUAGCAAUUCUUUACAUAAAAGCAUGAUCAUUUAAAAAUAAAUAAGGAGCAUAAAAUCUACUUACCUCGAUCGUCCUGAACUUUUUAAUCUUCCUUAAAAGAAUCGGAUAGUCCUAUUUAAAAUAUUAAAUCAUCAAUAAAUUUUAUUUCAUAUAUUUAAUAAAAUUAC